rnacentral:rRNA from 1 species
CCUACGGGAGGCAGCAGUGGGGAAUAUUGGACAAUGGGCGCAAGCCUGAUCCAGCAAUGCCGCGUGGGUGAAGAAGGUCUUCGGAUUGUAAAGCCCUUUCGGCGGGGACGAUGAUGACGGUACCCGCAGAAGAAGCCCCGGCUAACUUCGUGCCAGCAGCCGCGGUAAUACGAAGGGGGCUAGCGUUGCUCGGAAUGACUGGGUGUAAAGGGUUCGUAGGCGGUGUGGCAAGUCGGGAGUGAAAUCUCUGGGCUUAACUCAGAGGCUGCUUCCGAAACUGCUGUGCUAGAGUGCGGGAGAGGCGCGUGGAAUUGCAGGUGUAGCGGUGAAAUGCGUAGAUAUCUGCAGGAACACCCGUGGCGAAAGCGGCGCGCUGGACCGUUACUGACGCUGAGGAACGAAAGCUAGGGGAGCAAACAGGAUUAGAUACCCUGGUAGUCCACGCUGUAAACGAUGUGUGCUAGACGUUGGGGAGCGCAGCUCUUCGGUGUCGCCGCAAACGCUUUAAGCACACCGCCUGGGGAGUACGGCCGCAAGAUUAAAACUCAAAGGAAUUGACGG